GUUUUAGUUUGUACAUUAUGCACAGUAGACAUUCCAUUACAUUCAGAGUGUGUAAAGGGUACUCGAGCGCCAGGCCGGCAAGGGCCAUGCAAAGCGGCACUCAGAGUCAUAGAUGCACAGGUGUGUGGAUGUUGCGACUCGCCCCCAAACGUGCACAUGUGGAUCUCUCCACCAGCAUCAGAAUGAGAACAAGAGCCGACUUUGAAGUUUCAUUAAUGAUCCUUCCGCAGGUUCACCUACGGAAA
rnacentral:misc_RNA from 1 species